rnacentral:sRNA from 1 species
AUGCCUCUUACUCAUGAACUGAACAGAUAUUUCCCUCCAGUCCAUCAUUUGUUUUUUUAACCUCAUGCUGGUCUUUUUUGCGGUGGAGAAGUUUUUCUUGUUCCAUGGCCCUAUCUGUUGAGCUUUCCCAAAAUAGCUUCUAGUAAGUGUUGUGUACUCCAAGCAAUCUGUUCUCGUUAUUUUUCUAUUUUAACUGGUGCUUACUCUGAAUUUCUACUUUCAGUCUUUUGUGUUAGAGUUCCACUUUGAACCCAACGACUACUUUUCCAACUCAGUCCUGACAAAAACCUACAAGAUGAAAUCAGAACCAGAUAAGGCUGAUCCCUUUUCCUUUGAAGGUCCUGAGAUUGUGGACUGUGACGGGUGUACUAUUGACUGGAAGAAAGGAAAGAAUGUUACUGUCAAAACCAUCAAGAAAAAGCAGAAGCAUAAGGGUCGAGGCACUGUUAGAACAAUUACGAAACAAGUACCCAAUGAGUCCUUUUUCAACUUCUUCAAUCCAUUGAAAGCAUCCGGGGAUGGAGAAUCACUGGAUGAAGAUUCUGAAUUCACACUAGCCUCUGAUUUUGAAAUUGGACACUUUUUCCGAGAGCGGAUAGUCCCGCGGGCUGUGCUGUACUUCACUGGGGAGGCUAUAGAAGAUGAUGACAAUGUAUGAGGCUCGGGGAAGGGGGGCUUCCACCUGGCUGCU